rnacentral:rRNA from 1 species
AGUGAACGCUGGCGGCAGGCCUAACACAUGCAAGUCGAACGGCAGCACAGUAAGAGUUUGCUCUUACGGGUGGCGAGUGGCGGACGGGUGAGGAAUACAUCGGAAUCUACUUUUUCGUGGGGGAUAACGUAGGGAAACUUACGCUAAUACCGCAUACGACCUACGGGUGAAAGCAGGGGAUCUUCGGACCUUGCGCGAUUGAAUGAGCCGAUGUCGGAUUAGCUAGUUGGCGGGGUAAAGGCCCACCAAGGCGACGAUCCGUAGCUGGUCUGAGAGGAGGAUCAGCCACACAGGAGCUGAGACACGGUCCAGGCUCCUACGGGAGGCAGCAGUGGGGAAUAUUGGACAAUGGGCGCAAGCCUGAUCCAGCCAUACCGCGUGGGUGAAGAAGGCCUUCGGGUUGUAAAGCCCUUUUGUUGGGAAAGAAAAGCAGCAGGUUAAUACCCCGCUGUUCUGACGGUACCCAAAGAAUAAGCACCGGCUAACUUCGU